rnacentral:rRNA from 1 species
CAGUCGCCACGGUAACACGUAGGUGGCAAGCGUUGUCCGGAAUUAUUGGGCGUAAAGGGCUCGCAGGCGGUUUCUUAAGUCUGAUGUGAAAGCCCCCGGCUCAACCGGGGAGGGUCAUUGGAAACUGGGAAACUUGAGUGCAGAAGAGGAGAGUGGAAUUCCACGUGUAGCGGUGAAAUGCGUAGAGAUGUGGAGGAACACCAGUGGCGAAGGCGACUCUCUGGUCUGUAACUGACGCUGAGGAGCGAAAGCGUGGGGAGCGAACAGGAUUAGAUACCCGCGUAGUCCCUGUCUCUUAUAC